AGAAUGAAGAUGGCUUCCUGUCCCGCUAGCGUCACGUCGGGAUCUGCCUUCACCAAGGCCUUCACUCGCGCCAGAGGCAACCUCGAGAGACGAGCCCCAGGCACACUCGUUGGGGCCUGGGGCUGCGAGGCCGCUGCCUCCCCAGCAGGUCCCAGGCCUAAAGAGCAACCAUACUGUGGGACAUUCUCUUCUCAUGGCAGACAGCAGAAGAUCAAGAGGGACGAACCAAAAUAUGCCUUGUCUCAUAACCUUGUGCUUAGAACUGGCACUUUGUCGCUUCCACCCAUGUUCCACGGAUCAAAGCAACAAUUAAGGCCAAGCCCCACAUCAGUGGAGCAGGGGUGCACGUGUCCCUUCAGGGAGAAUGGGCCAUUAUAACUACAUUCUUAGAAUGUGAUCCCUUUCAACAUUUCCUGCACCUCUGCUUCUGCACACUACCACCAAAAGACAAGAAAGGCAAGGAGACGUGACUGGAGCAAGAAAAACAGUGUUUUUCACACAAGGAUGUCCACUCCUUGUUGGGAAUGGCUUAAGAUCGACCUGGGAAAGCAAAACAUCGCCAUAUCAUUUGGAGGAAAGGCACUGGUUGGAAGAGCCUGUUGGCGUGGCAAAGCCAAGGUCUUUAAAGUCCUCAGAGAAGGCAGGCAUAGCCACCACUGGAGGACUUCCUGAUAUGUGGUACAGAGACUGAUGAGGGCAUGGGGUGACAACCUUAGGUGCCAACAGCAAGGGGAUGGAUAUACAGGGUAAAGGAGGCUUGCUGCCAUCCUACGCCUUUGAACGCCACAAAUCAGAGAUGGUACCAUGGAGGAACAUGAACAGUGGGUAAGAAAUACCAGGAGUGGGGUAUUGCUGAAAAGAUACCUGAAAAUGUGGAAGUGACUUUGGAACCGGGUAACAGGCAGAGAUUGGAACAGU
rnacentral:lncRNA from 10 species